GGCCCCAUAGCACAACUGGAUAGGGCACCCGCCUCCUAAGCGGAUGAUCCCGGUUCGAGUCCGGGUGGGGUCAUCA
rnacentral:tRNA from 1 species